AACGAACGCUGGCGGCGGGCCUCAUACAUGCAAGUCGAGCGCGAAAGUCCGCAAGGAUGAGUAAAGCGGCGCACGGGUGAGUAACACGUGGGUAAUCUACCUUUUGGAUUGGAAUAACCUGUCGAAAGACGGGCUAAUGCCGAGUAAGCCUUCUUGAACGUGAAGUUCGAGACGGGAAAGAUGGCGCAAGCUAUCGCCGAAAGAUGAGCCUGCGUCCCAUUAGUUAGUUGGUGGGGUAAUGGCUUACCAAGACAAUGAUGGGUACCUGGUUUGAGAGAAUGAUCAGGCACACUGGACUGAAACACGGUCCAGACUCCUACGGGAGGCAGCAGUAGGGAAUAAUUGCGCAAUGGACGAAAGUCUGACGCAGCCACGCCGCGUGAGUGAGGAAGGCCUCGGUUGUAAGACUCUGUC
rnacentral:rRNA from 1 species